rfam:Triticum urartu cultivar G1812 contig731002, whole genome shotgun sequence.
CUCAUACUCCCUCCGUUCGGAAAUAUUUGUCAUCAAAAUGGAUAAAAGAGGAUGUAUCUAGAUGUAUUUUAGUUCUAGAUACAUCUCUUUUUAUCCGUUUUAAUGACAAGUAUUUUCGGACAAAGGAAAUAUAUG